rnacentral:rRNA from 1 species
AGCGAACGUUAGCGGCGGGCCUAACACAUGCAAGUCGAACGCGAAAGGUCUUCGGACUGAGUAGAGUGGCGCACGGGUGAGUAACACGUAGGUAAUCUACCCUUUGGCGGGGGAUAACGUUUCGAAAGGAGCGCUAAUACCGCAUAAGACCACGGAGUCUCCGGACGCUGUGGGAAAAGGUGGCCUCUUCUUGAAAGCUACCACCGAAGGAUGAGCCUGCGUCCCAUCAGCUAGUUGGUAAGGUAAUGGCUUACCAAGGCGAAGACGGGUAGCUGGUUUGAGAGAAUGAUCAGCCACACUGGCACUGGAACACGGGCCAGACUCCUACGGGAGGCAGCAGUGAGGAAUAUUGGGCAAUGGGCGAAAGCCUGACCCAGCCACGCCGCGUGAGUGAUGAAGGCCCUCGGGUCGUAAAGCUCUGUGGAGAGGGACGAAAACCCUGGUUUCAAAUAGGCUCCAGGCUUGACGGUACCUCUUUAGCAAGCACCGGCUAACUCUGUGCCAGCAGCCGACGG